GAUGAACGCUGGCGGCGUGCCUAAUACAUGCAAGUCGAGCGAACAGACGAGGAGCUUGCUACUCUGACGUUAGCGGCGGACGGGUGAGUAACACGUGGAUAACCUACCUAUAAGACUGGGAUAAAUUCGGGAAACCGGAGCUAAUACCGGAUAAUAUAUUGAACCGCUUGGUUCAAUAGUGAAAGACGGUUUUGCUGUCACUUAUAGAUGGAUCCGCGCCGCAUUAGCUAGUUGGUAAGGUAACGGCUUACCAAGGCGACGAUGGGUAGCCGACCUGAGAGGGUGAUCGGCCACACGGGAACUGAGACGCGGUCCAGACUCCUACGAGAGGCAGCAGUAGGGAAUCUUCCGCAAUGGGCGAAAGCCUGACGGAGCAACGCCGCGUGAGUGAUGAAGGUCUUCGGAUCGUAAAACUCUGUUAUUAGGGAAGAACAAAUGUGUAAGUAACUAUGCACGUCUUGACGGUACCUAAUCAGAAAGCCACGGCUAACUACGUG
rnacentral:rRNA from 1 species